rnacentral:rRNA from 1 species
GAUGAACGCUAGCGGCAGGCCUAACACAUGCAAGUCGAGGGAGAAGCCCUUCGGGGCAGAAACCGGCGCGCGGGUGCGUAACGGUAUGCAACCUACCUUUCACAGGGGGAUAGCCCGAGGAAAUUUGGAUUAAUACCCCAUAAUAUUAUUGGAUGGCAUCAUUUGUAAUUAAAAUUACGAUGGUGAAAGAUGGGCAUGCGUCCUAGUAGCUAGUUGGAGUGGAACGGCACCCCAAGGCUACGAUAGGUAGGGGUCCUGAGAGGGAGAUCCCCCACACUGGUACUGAGACAGGGACCAGACUCCUACGGGAGGCAGCAGUGAGGAAUAUUGGUCAAUGGUCGGAAGACUGAACCAGCCAUGCCGCGUGCAGGAAGAAUGCCUUAUGGGUUGUAAACUGCUUUUAUAUGGGAAGAAUAAGGAGUACGUGUACUUUGAUGACG